rnacentral:rRNA from 1 species
GGGGGCAACCCUGGCGGCGAGCGGCGAACGGGUGAGUAAUGUAUCGCAACGUACCCUGUCGUGGGGGAUAACACAGCGAAAGCUGUGCUAAUACCGCAUACGACCUGAGGGUGAAAGCGGGGGAUCGCAAGACCUCGCGCGAUAGGAGCGGCCGAUAUCGGAUUAGCUUGUUGGUGAGGUAAAGGCUCACUAAGGCGACGAUCCGUAGCUGGUCUGAGAGGACGACCAGCCACACUGGAACUGAGACACGGUCCAGACUCCUACGGGAGGCAGCAGUGGGGAAUUUUGGACAAUGGGGGCAACCCUGAUCCAGCCAUUCCGCGUGAGUGAAGAAGGCCUUCGGGUUGUAAAGCUCUUUCAGCAGGAACGAAACGGUGGCUACUAAUACUAGCUACUAAUGACGGUACCUGAAGAAGAAGCACCGGCUAACUACGUGCCAGCAGCCGCGGUAAUACGUAGGGUGCGAGCGUUAAUCGGAAUUACUGGGCGUAAAGCGUGCGCAGGCGGUUAUGUAAGACAGGUGUGAAAUCCCCGGGCUUAACCUGGGAACUGCGCUUGUGACUGCAUAACUCGAGUGUGGCAGAGGGGGGUGGAAUUCCACGUGUAGCAGUGAAAUGCGUAGAGAUGUGGAGGAACACCGAUGGCGAAGGCAGCCCCCUGGGUCAACACUGACGCUCAUGCACGAAAGCGUGGGGAGCAAACAGGAUUAGAUACCCUGGUAGUCCACGCCCUAAACGAUGCGAACUAGGUGUUGGGGAAGGAGACUUUCUUAGUACCGCAGCUAACGCGUGAAGUUCGCCGCCUGGGGAGUACGGUCGCAAGAUUAAAACUCAAAGGAAUUGACGGGGACCCGCACAAGCGGUGGAUGAUGUGGAUUAAUUCGAUGCAACGCGAAAAACCUUACCUACCCUUGACAUGUCAGGAAGUCCGCUGAGAGGUGGAUGUGCUCGAAAGAGAACCUGAACACAGGUGCUGCAUGGCUGUCGUCAGCUCGUGUCGUGAGAUGUUGGGUUAAGUCCCGCAACGAGCGCAACCCUUGUCAUUAAUUGCCAUCAUUCAGUUGGGCACUUUAAUGAGACUGCCGGUGACAAACCGGAGGAAGGUGGGGAUGACGUCAAGUCCUCAUGGCCCUUAUGGGUAGGGCUUCACACGUCAUACAAUGGUCGGUACAGAGGGUCGCCAACCCGCGAGGGGGAGCCAAUCCCACAAAGCCGAUCGUAGUCCGGAUCGCAGUCUGCAACUCGACUGCGUGAAGUCGGAAUC